CAGGCCUAACACAUGCAAGUCGAACGGGCACCUUCGGGUGUCAGUGGCAGACGGGUGAGUAACACGUGGGAACGUGCCCUUCGGUUCGGAAUAACUCAGGGAAACUUGAGCUAAUACCGGAUACGCCCUUACGGGGAAAGGUUUACUGCCGAAGGAUCGGCCCGCGUCUGAUUAGCUAGUUGGUGGGGUAACGGCCUACCAAGGCGACGAUCAGUAGCUGGUCUGAGAGGAUGAUCAGCCACACUGGGACUGAGACACGGCCCAGACUCCUACGGGAGGCAGCAGUGGGGAAUAUUGGACAAUGGGCGAAAGCCUGAUCCAGCCAUGCCGCGUGAGUGAUGAAGGCCUUAGGGUUGUAAAGCUCUUUCGACGGGGACGAUAAUGACGGUACCCGUAGAAGAAGCCCCGGCUAACUUCGUGCCAGCAGCCGCGGUAAU
rnacentral:rRNA from 1 species